ACAAACAAAAGCCCUCAUCCAUCUGAGAGCAAGGACGUCUGGUUUGGGGCAGGGAAACAGAAACCCCGUGGCGAGAAGAAAUUCCUCCUCCGUUUGCUCUUUGGAAGGGUAAGCGUGUGCGUACUUUUAAAUGAGUAGCAGCAAACUUCUAACUGAGAAAAGAAAAACUGAAGGACUAAAAUACUCUUGGGCAAAGUGAAAUAAGGAUACUGUGGGUUUGCGAGUUUUCCAAGAAGGGGUCCCGAGAUGUGGCUUGCUCGCCAGCAGGGGGCACGUUUUCUUUAGGAUUGCGUCCCAGAAUCUCGAAACCUCGCAGCCGGACUCUCUCCGAGUCCCAUCGCCGGAAAUCGCUCUGCAGAUAAUAACCCUCCGGUGUCUGGAAAUGUUUAAUUACCGCGAACUCUCCUUCCUCCAGCGCCACCCGCCGCCGGUGCAGCCCGGAAGGACCCAGCGCCGCGGGUGCAGUAGGUGGCUCUAUCUGCAGGAUUCCACCCUAACUAUUCACAAUUCCGUUCAAACUACUGUUCUCCAACAUCCCCGGCUGAUUAGACAUUGCCUUGUUUCUAAUGCACUUAUUUACACCUUGGAAAAAGGAAAAGUUCAUUAACCUUAGUACAUAGAUCUGGAUGUGUCUAAAAUAGUCUGACAACUCAAAUUUGUGUAAAAAGUAAAAACCCAUGCCGUCUUUUACAUACAUUUUACAUUUGAUCUUCACAACAGAAGACAUCAUCAUUCCAUUUUCCCGAUGAUCGUAUGCCCAUGCAAUUCCAUGCUAGUAUUUAUGCUUCAUGUCACACAUAUUUUUACAAACCAAAGGUAUAUGUGUGUGUGUGUGUGUGUGUGUAUGUAUUGUUACAUUUAUUAAGGUGAAAGAGUUACAUUUGUGUGCCCGUAAAGAACUUACCAAACGGGAACUGCCUGGA
rnacentral:lncRNA from 1 species